rnacentral:rRNA from 1 species
ACGGCUCAGUAACACGUAGGUAAUCCACCCCUGGAUGCGGGAUAGUCCAUGGAAACAUGGGGUAAUACCGCAUGAAGCCUAUUGGGGAUAACCCUGGUGGGUUAAAGGUGCAAUUGUGCUGUCUAGGGAUGAGCCUGCGGUCCAUUAGCUUGUUGGUGGGGUAAAGGCCUACCAAGGCUGUGAUGGAUAGCCGGCCUGAGAGGGUGUACGGUCACACUGGGACUGAGACACGGCCCAGACUCCUACGGGAGGCAGCAGCUAAGAAUCUUCCGCAAUGGGCGAAAGCCUGACGGAGCGACGCCGCGUGAACGAAGAAGGCCGAGAGGUCGUAAAGUUCUUUUCUACAUGAAGAAUAAUGUAGGGAGUGGAAAGCCCUUCAGAUGACGUUAGUGUAGGAAUAAGCUCCGGCCAAUUACGUGCCAGCAGCCGCGGUAACACGUAUGGGGCUAGCGUUGUUCGGAAUUAUUGGGCGUAAAGGGCGUGUAGGCGGUUUCAUAAGCUUGGUGUAAAAGGCUCUGGCUUAACCAGAGUUUCGCGCUGAGAACUGUGGGACUAGAGUUCAGGAGGGGAAGCUGGAAUUCCAGGUGUAGGGGUGAAAUCUGUAGAUAUCUGGAAGAACACCGGUGGCGAAGGCGAGCUUCUAGCCAUGGACUGACGCUGAGGCGCGAAAGCGUGGGGAGCGAACAGGAUUAGAUACCCUGGUAGUCCACGCUGUAAACGAUGUGCACUAGGCGUUGGGUGUGAAUGAACACUCGGUGCCGUAGCUAACGCGUUAAGUGCACCGCCUGGGGAGUAUGCCCGCAAGGGUGAAACUUAAAGGAAUUGGCGGGGGAGCAC